AAAUGACAGGCUGUCACCUCAGGCUUCACUACGGUAUCGCCUAAGGAUAGGUGGAGGGUUGGGUGAUCUACUCAAGUCCCUUGGGAGUGCAAGGAAAGAGUUUCUAUUGCCAGAGCUCCUGGAAUCCUGGAGAAGGAGUGAGGGCAUACCCAUUCACUUUUUUUGCAGGUAUAAUAAUGACGCAUUUGAGUUCCGAGGGCUGGAUUGGAUUCCUCGUCAAGAAAACUUUUAGCUUCAGAAAACACCACCUUUCCCUUCCAUUUCUUCCCAUUCGACUCCAAUGACAGAAUUCAUAAUUUUCAGGAUGUAGAAGGCAGUAGUUUCCUUAGACAAAAGCGAAGCAGUCCAAUUUCCCAGCCGUUUACAAGAGUAAACACUCCUUUGGCCCUCCCGCCCUCAAGGAAGGGCACCGUGUGUCCCCAAAAAGGUCUGUUCAUGGUGCUCUUGGUGUUUGUGACCUGUGUGAGUGGCCUUUUUUUUUUUUCCUCCAACACAGAAUCGAACUGGCCCGUCUUAUGUGUUUGCGGAUGAAGAAACUCCAGGGUCGGAUUCAUCACACUGUAUUUGCCUUCAGAGGAGUUACCCCGUUGGCUGAUUCCUGAGAGCAUCCAGUGCAGUCACCGUGGGCUAGGGUUUUGCCUGCAUCGAAAUAUAAAGAUGGUCAAUAGCCAGGGCAGGAGAGAUUCAGAUGCAUUCAAUAACGUGCAGAAAAGGCCCUGGGAAGAUAUAUCACUCCACUGCCUUCUGGAAUCAACUGUUGUGGAUGAGGAGUCAGCUGAGAAUGUAAUCGUCAUUCCUUUGUGGGUAAUCUGUAUUUUCUUUCUGGUAACCUAAAGAUUUUUUUUUCUUCAUCUGUCUGCAUUUCAGUAGGAUGUGCACAGAUGUGUAUUUAUUUUCGUUUACGCUGGAUUUGGUACAUCUCUCAGCAAAUCUGGAAAAUGCUCAGCCAUUAUCUUUCUAAAUAUCUCUGCUCUGCCACUUGCUUAAUUCUACGCUUUCAACAUCCCUAUUAGACAUAUUUUGGAGCCCAUCCAUUUAUCCUCCAUGUUUUGAAACUAUGGCUUAAUGAAAAAAAAGUUUUUUUUUAAUCUCUCUAUGAUGCAUUUUUUGUUGAAUUCUGAGCAGUAUCUUCCAAUUCACUAAUUCUUGCUAAAUACAUCCAUUCUGGAGUUUGUCUCAUUUACUGACUUAAAAUUUUUAGUGGCCAUAUUUUUCAUUUCCAACAUUUCU